rnacentral:rRNA from 1 species
GAUGAACGCUGGCGGCGUGCCUAAUACAUGCAAGUCGAGCGAACGGACGAGAAGCUUGCUUCUCUGAUGUUAGCGGCGGACGGGUGAGUAACACGUGGAUAACCUACCUAUAAGACUGGGAUAACUUCGGGAAACCGGAGCUAAUACCGGAUGAUAUUUUGAACCGCAUGGUUCAAAAGUGAAAGACGGUCUUGCUUUCACUUAUAGAUGGAUCCGCGCUGCAUUAGCUAGUUGGUAAGGUAACGGCUUACCAAGGCAACGAUGCAUAGCCGACCUGAGAGGGUGAUCGGCCACACUGGAACUGCGACACGGUCCAGACUCCUACGGGAGGCAGCAGUAGGGAAUCUUCCGCAAUGGGCGAAAGCCUGACGGAGCAACGCCGCGUGAGUGAUGAAGGUCUUCGGAUCGUAAAACUCUGUUAUUAGGGAAGAACAUAUGUGUAAGUAACUGUGCACAUCUUGACGGUACCUAAUCAGAAAGCCACGGCUAACUACGUG